rnacentral:rRNA from 1 species
GACGAACGCUGGCGGCGUGCUUAACACAUGCAAGUCGAGCGGUAAGGCCCUUUCGGGGGUACGACGAGCGGCGAACGGGUGAGUAACACGUGGGUGACCUGCCCUUAGCUCUGGGAUAAGCCUGGGAAACUGGGUCUAAUACCGGAUAUGACUCCAUGACGCAUGUUGUGGGGUGGAAAGCCUUGUGCGGCUAGGGAUGGGCCCGCGGCCUAUCAGCUU